UUUCAUCUUACACAUAGAUAUGAAGUGUUUUAUAUAAAUUACGUGAUAUGUGUGCAUAUUAUCUGAAUCCUUCCUGUCUAUGAUGGAUGAAUGAUUUUAUACAUGUUUUAAAUGAUUUAAAUAUAUAUUUAUUUUAUAUCUACAAAUAUGUUGGGAUAAAACAUGGGUAGAUGAAAUAGUUGGUGUGUGAUGAAAUAAAAUGAUGAGAGAUAGGUGAUGAUAGGAAGGUGAUGAUAAUUAGGUGAUGGAUAGGUGAUGAUGAAUCGGUGAUGUAGGAUGAAAGAUACUAUAACCUUGUCAGAAAAUUUGGAGAUGUAGUCAUCUACUAGAGUAUAGAUGGCGACCACGGACUAUUCUAGACAACCCGUGGAAACACCAGCAUACUUAUAACCUGUAGGUGAUGAAUUACGAGUCCAUGUGAUGUUGUAACUAUAUAUUCAUGUGAUGAUACUCUAACCCUUACUAUGAAUUACGAGUUCAGGCGAUGUUGUAACUACGUAUUCAUGCGAGGAUGUCUUAACCCUUAUUGGGAACGUAUUGAGGGAGUAAUCCCUGAAUCAAUACUGUCUAUGCAAUAUAGGCGAUGAUCCUUAGGGAGAGUCCUUAGGAACAAACAUAUAAGGAAAUGUGAUGUAAGGAGAUGAAAGGUAAAUAUGAUAUAGGAGACAAUCCUUAGGAUAAAUCCUUAGGGAAGGUACUUCGGAAUAAAGAAGAUAAUGGGGAUGGAUAAUUGGGUUAAUUGUUUGACGACUAAACAUAAUAAUUAUAUUAUUGUGGGUUGAAAACCCUAUGUACUCACCAGGUUUCCCAACCUGACCCACUCAGUUUACUUGUAUCACAGGUGACGAGGUGAAGUUACAUUACACUGAGAGAUUAAGGAGAUACAGAUCACUAGUGUAAAUGAAUGUAAGUUCUGUUUAUGCUUAUGUUUCUGUAUUGACGAUGACAUCCCAAAUGUUUUAAAAUGAAUAAAAAUACAUUUCUUCGGAAAUGUUUUGAUAAUGAAAUUAUCAUGUUUUUUUGGGAACAAAUUCUGCAACAUUUUUAUUAAAAGAGAUACUUUGAUUUUUAUAAAGAAUAAAUAAAAUUGGUGUUUUCUGGCCGUGAAAAUGGGGAUGUCACAGUUGGUAUCAGAGAAUUAGUUUAAGCGAAGUAGGAAUUUGUAGGAAAUUUCUAGACUUAAACUUAGAAUGCUAAGAGAUGAUUAUGAGAUGAGUGACUGCUAUAUUUUACACACAACCACUAGUUUAUUUUAGGAAAGAUGCCUAAAAUGUUUUAUGUGCUAAAUGUUUUAUGUUAUAGCUAUAAAGAUGCCUUAUAUGCUAUUAUUUGUUCAGAUUUAUGGUCUGUUGCUGACCGGAUCUAGAAAUUUUAUGUGUUCAGAUUUCUAAACGUUUGAUUACGAUAUUAGAACUGGCAUAUAACUUUUCGGUGUGACAAGGAGAACUAUACGUCUAUAAAAUCUUUCCUAUCUUAAAAUUCUCGCCUUGGUACACCGAAUGUCUGCUUGGGUGUACAAAACAUCAUGGUGAAGACAGACUAGGAAAUAUCCGAGGAAGAUGACAACUUGAGCCUAAGAAUAUGAUGGGUCAUGCAUCGGUCUUUGCGCCUGCACCUGAACCUAUCACAAUGGCAGAAGUUCAGGAAGUGAUGCGAACCAUGCCAGACUGAGAAAAUAGAGGAAAUCAGAUGGCUUACGAUAGUGAAUGACACUUAUCGGAAGAUAUCAUAAGAGAGGUAUCUUGCCUUUAGAAUACGUCUGAUAAAAUAGUAGUACGUCUAGAGAACUACGGUUCAUCUGAAUGUACACAUUUGAUUGGCGGGAUGAUAGAACGAUUGGUGUAAUUCUUAAAGUUCUCUUAUCAUCUGGAAUUUCCAUCACCAACCGAGUUGAAGCAUAAUUGAUGAUUGAAGAUACACAUGGAAGAAGUCCUAGUAGAGUCUACGGAACUUUUUAUGAUUAUUUGGACACACUCGUAUGUGUUAAAUUGUUUUGUGAUUUUAGGACUUGGGGACUACGAGACAAUACUUGGGACGAGUAUGAGUAGGUGUGAAAGGUAGUAGAUGCAUAUACUACCGGAAGCACAGGACUCAAGCUUGGAUCAGGGAAAGUCACAAGGUUACCAAGAAGCCAAUAAUUGAGUGCGUUUUAUUCAAGCAUGUCGUUACCAUCGUUUGGGUAAUGACUAAGAAGAUUUUUGUUAUUAUGACCCUAGUGGUCAUAUCAAAUUGAGUCUGAAUACGAUGAGUUUGAUACAUGGUUCAGAGAACCAAGUCCGAUGUAGUAUCUGACUUAAGCUAGAAGAUUGAAGUGAAAGACAAUCAAAGCGAUCAGUAGAGGUAUCGGGAUAGUUGCUUGUAGCUAGGAAUGCUACCUUUUAAGAUAUGAUUAUAUCACAUUAGAACAUGAAGGAAGGUAUAGUCUAUUCUGGAAAUUUGACUCUAAAAGACCUGAGUCUAAGCAUUGCAACAUACGAUGUUAGGCCAUUACAAUACGACACAUCGGUCCAUGGUAGUAAUCCUAAGAUUUUUAAGAGGAAGAAGCAGUCUCCAGUAAGGAUCGAGAUUGUGACUUGAAGGUCAUAAUUGGGAGAUAAACGUGAGAUAGGGAGCGGGUCCAAGUUUAGGCACCGCCUAUAGUUAGGAAAUCUUAGAGUUAGAUACUCGUUUGAAGAAACAUCAAAGUUACGGUUAUUACUUAGGAUGAAGAGAUAACAUAUGGAGUCAUCACGUGAGCCCUGUUUCUUUGAUGAUUCCGGGACGUAAUCAUCCUAAGGGGGAGAUAAUUGUAACGCCCGUAGAACCGGGCUAGUCAAUUUAGAGAUAAUAGGGGUCGAAAAAGAAUUUUUGACAAAAGAUUAUUUAGAAUAAAUAAUAUUAACCAAGUUGUAGAAUAUGUCUCAAGGGUUCCGUAGAAUUAAAGAAUGCCGAAAUCCGAGUUAUAACGAAGAAGUUACGACCUGUCGAAGUUUCGCGAUGGAACCGGCACGACACCGGGAAGCGUAAAUAGUGAAUUUACGAUAGAGAGACUUUUAGCCUUAGCGAUCUAAACAAAAGUUGUAGAAAAUGUUAAACCGAGAGUGUUCAUAAAAAGAACGCCCAAAUCUGACUUCGUAUGAGGAAGUUAUGAUUUUUCUAAGAUUUGGCAUAGCGGUGCAUGGCUCGAAACUCGAAUUUUGGUUCGAGCGGUUUUUGGCUUAGGCGACCUAAAUGAGAAUUUAAUAUCUCAUUAAUAGGAACUCAACGACAAAAAGACAAACGAAAACGGAGUCUGUAUGUAAAAGUUAUGAAUUUUACGCGGAUAUUUAACAGUGUAAUCACCUCCUACUGUUCAAUUUAAGAUCAGUCGAGAAUUAGCUGACGGAGUAAAAAGGAAAGUUGUAGAUUUUAUUUUUACCUAUAUGUGGAUAUAAAUAACGUCAAAAAUGAAGCUCGUAUGCGAAAGUUAUGGAUGAAACUUAGUCUCUACUUUUUGAGCGCGGCAAAUUCGAUACAGUUUUGUAAAUCCGAGAUAGAAUGAGAAUUAGUCAACGAGGUCUAAAUGAAAGUUGUAGUACUCGUAAAUACCAAUGCAUGGAUAUAAAGAACGUAGAAAAUGGAGCUCGUACGCAAAAGAUAUUGACGAAGCUUGGAGACUACUUUACUAUAAAAUUCCUGUAAAUAAGAUAUGAACUCUUCAUAAUUUCUUCACACCAUAAGUCUUUCUUUCUCUCUCUAGUUUCUCUCUAACCUCCAUAAACCCCUCCCAAAUCUAGGGAACCUCCCUAGCACGAGAAGAAAGCCCCAGAGCGCCCGACGGCUCUGAGAAGAAAAGCUUUCGGCUCGGAAACGCUGCUCCAGCGAAACCCAGUUUUUAAUAAAAACCCGUUGUAAGUGAACUACGCCCAUACUAUAUUUAAUAUAGCAUUUAUUUAAUUAUAACAACAUUAUUAGGACCUUAAAAAUAACUACUUGGGCUAUUAUUAUGGGUUAUAUAAGUAUUGUUUAACGCUUAUAUAAUAGUAAUAAUAGCUAGAUUACUAAUUAGUCGCGGCGAAUAAUAUACUAAACUCUAAUGGUAAUAAUACUAGGUUUCGUCGAAGGAAAUUAUUUUUAAGAAGCGAAGCGCUGUCUAUGUUCAGAAUCACUAGCUUUUCAAGUGAGUGCAUGGUGCCUUUCAUCUUACAAAUAGAUAUGAAAUAUUUUAUAUAAAUUACGUGCUAUAUGUGCAAAUUAUCUGAAUACUUGCUGUCUAUGAUGGAUGAAUGAUUUUAUACAUGUUUUAAAUGAUUUAAAUAUAUAUUUAUUUUAUAUCUACAAAUAUGUUGGGAUAAAACAUGCGUAGAUGAAAUAGAUGGUGUGUGAUUAAAUAAAAUGAUGAGAGAUAGGUGAUGAUAGGAAGGUGAUGAUAAUUAGGUGAUGGAUAGGUGAUGAUGAAUCGGUGAUGUAGGAUGAAAG
rnacentral:lncRNA from 1 species